rnacentral:rRNA from 1 species
GGGACACGUGGUAUCCUGUCUGAAUAUGGGGGGACCAUCCUCCAAGGCUAAAUACUCCUGACUGACCGAUAGUGAACCAGUACCGUGAGGGAAAGGCGAAAAGAACCCCGGCGAGGGGAGUGAAAAAGAACCUGAAACCGUGUACGUACAAGCAGUGGGAGCACAGAGCAAUCUGUGUGACUGCGUACCUUUUGUAUAAUGGGUCAGCGACUUAUAUUCUGUAGCAAGGUUAACCGAAUAGGGGAGCCGAAGGGAAACCGAGUCUUAACUGGGCGUUAAGUUGCAGGGUAUAGACCCGAAACCCGGUGAUCUAGCCAUGGGCAGGUUGAAGGUUGGGUAACACUAACUGGAGGACCGAACCGACUAAUGUUGAAAAAUUAGCGGAUGACUUGUGGCUGGGGGUGAAAGGCCAAUCAAACCGGGAGAUAGCUGGUUCUCCCCGAAAGCUAUUUAGGUAGCGCCUCGUGAAUUCAUCUCCGGGGGUAGAGCACUGUUUCGGCAAGGGGGUCAUCCCGACUUACCAACCCGAUGCAAACUGCGAAUACCGGAGAAUGUUAUCACGGGAGACACACGGCGGGUGCUAACGUCCGUCGUGAAGAGGGAAACAACCCAGACCGCCAGCUAAGGUCCCAAAGUCAUGGUUAAGUGGGAAACGAUGUGGGAAGGCCCAGACAGCCAGGAUGUUGGCUUAGAAGCAGCCAUCAUUUAAAGAAAGCGUAAUAGCUCACUGGUCGAGUCGGCCUGCGCGGAAGAUGUAACGGGGCUAAACCAUGCACCGAAGCUGCGGCAGCGACGCUUAUGCGUUGUUGGGUAGGGGAGCGUUCUGUAAGCCUGUGAAGGUGUACUGUGAGGUAUGCUGGAGGUAUCAGAAGUGCGAAUGCUGACAUAAGUAACGAUAAAGCGGGUGAAAAGCCCGCUCGCCGGAAGACCAAGGGUUCCUGUCCAACGUUAAUCGGGGCAGGGUGAGUCGACCCCUAAGGCGAGGCCGAAAGGCGUAGUCGAUGGGAAACAGGUUAAUAUUCCUGUACUUGGUGUUACUGCGAAGGGGGGACGGAGAAGGCUAUGUUGGCCGGGCGACGGUUGUCCCGGUUUAAGCGUGUAGGCUGGUUUUCCAGGCAAAUCCGGAAAAUCAAGGCUGAGGCGUGAUGACGAGGCACUACGGUGCUGAAGCAACAAAUGCCCUGCUUCCAGGAAAAGCCUCUAAGCAUCAGGUAACAUCAAAUCGUACCCCAAACCGACACAGGUGGUCAGGUAGAGAAUACCAAGGCGCUUGAGAGAACUCGGGUGAAGGAACUAGGCAAAAUGGUGCCGUAACUUCGGGAGAAGG